rnacentral:rRNA from 1 species
AAAGCCGGAUUAAUACCGCAUACGCUCUACGGAGGAAAGGGGGGGAUCUUAGGACCUCUCGUUAUAGGGGCGGCCGAUGGCAGAUUAUCUAGUUGGUGGGGUAAAGGCCUACCAAGGCGACGAUCUGUAGCUGGUCUGAGAGGACGACCAGCCACACUGGGACUGAGACACGGCCCUUUUUCCUACGGGAGGCAGCAGUGGGGAAUUUUGGACAAUGGGCGCAAGCCUGAUCCAGCAAUGCCGCGUGUGUGAAGAAGGCCUUCGGGUUGUAAAGCACUUUUGUCCGGAAAGAAAACCUCUGGGUUAAUACCCCGGGGGGAUGACGGUACCGGAAGAAUAAGCACCGGCUAACUACGUGCCAGCAGCCGCGGUAAUACGUAGGGUGCAAGCGUUAAUCGGAAUUACUGGGCGUAAAGCGUGCGCAGGCGGUUCGCU